UACGGAGGGUGCGAGCGUUGUUCGGAAUCACUGGGCGUAAAGCGCGUGUAGGCGGCCCUUUAAGUCCGAUGUGAAAGCCCGGGGCUCACCCCCGGAAGUGCAUUGGAUACUGAAGGGCUGGAGUACCGGAGAGGAGGGUGGAAUUCCUGGUGUAGCGGUGAAAUGAGUAGAUAUCAGGAGGAACACCUGUGGCGAAGGCGGCCCUCUGGACGGAUACUGACGCUGAGACGCGAAAGCGUGGGGAGCAAACAGG
rnacentral:rRNA from 1 species